rnacentral:rRNA from 1 species
GUGCCAGCAGCCGCGGUAAUACAGAGGGUGCAAGCGUUAAUCGGAAUUACUGGGCGUAAAGCGCGCGUAGGCGGCUGAUUAAGUCGGGUGUGAAAGCCCCGGGCUCAACCUGGGAAUUGCAUCCGAUACUGAUUGGCUAGAGUAUGAGAGAGGGAGGUAGAAUUCCACGUGUAGCGGUGAAAUGCGUAGAUAUGUGGAGGAAUACCGGUGGCGAAGGCGGCCUCCUGGCUUAAUACUGACGCUGAGGUGCGAAAGCGUGGGGAUCAAACAGGAUUAGAUACCCUCGUAGUCC